AGUAAAUAGAUACCCCGGUAGUCCACGCCGUAAACGAUGUCGACUUGGAGGUUGUGCCCUUGAGGCGUGGCUUCCGGAGCUAAACGCGUUAAAGUCGACCGCCUGGGGAGAACGGCCGCAAGGUUAAAACUCAAAUGAAUUGACGGGGGCCCGCACAAGCGGUGGAGCAUGUGGUUUAAUUCGAUGCAACGCGAAGAACCUUACCUACUCUUGACAUCCAGAGAACUUAGCAGAGAUGCUUUGGUGCCUUCGGGAACUCUGAGACAGGUGCUGCAUGGCUGUCGUCAGCUCGUGUUGUGAAAUGUUGGGUUAAGUCCCGCAACGAGCGCAACCCUUAUCCUUUGUUGCCAGCGGUUAGGCCGGGAACUCAAAGGAGACUGCCAGUGAUAAACUGGAGGAAGGUGGGGAUGACGUCAAGUCAUCAUGGCCCUUACGAGUAGGGCUACACACGUGCUACAAUGGCGCAUACAAAGAGAAGCGACCUCGCGAGAGCAAGCGGACCUCAUAAAGUGCGUCGUAGUCCGG
rnacentral:rRNA from 1 species